GGUGAAAACAAUGAGGUGAAAAUUCAAAAGAAAAAAAAUGUGUUUUUGAGAGGUUUCAAGGAGUACAUUGUUUUUUUAACCUAAUUUCAUUUGUGGUCAGUAACACUAUCACUGAAUAUCAGUGUAGUCACUAAAUUCAAUUUGUUACUGCAAUAUCAUUCAACUUUGUUCAACACUAUCACUGUCGCUUGAUUUUGGUAUAAUUUCUACAAUAUUUUGAGACCACAACCUGGUAAACUUUUGCUGAUUUAGUUGUACAAUUAGAAAUAGGCGAUAGAAUUUUGUUAGUUGAAACAUAAAAAAUUUAGCUAAAAUGUUUACAAGAAUUUGGAAAAAAUGACCUUAUUAAAACUAAAUCAAAGUGAUUUAUGUAUUAUAAAUUGAGGUUUAGUGAUUGUGCUUAAAUUCAGUGAUAUGUCAAGACCUUGAGUCAGAUAGAUGCGAGAAGGUAUAGGAGAAAUUCAAUGGCAGAAAUUCAAUGAACAAGAACUGGAUAGAGAAGAAAGAACCAAAAGAGAGAGAACUGUUAUUAAUCUUCAUCACCUGAACAAUACAAUCUGCUAGCUUAAGUAG
rnacentral:misc_RNA from 1 species